UCCUGCAGCCUUAGAGGGCAUAAUGGGGCGCCCCUGAGCCUGGCAGCGCGUUUCAGCCCCCAGUGACUCCCCCAUCCCCACCCCACCGAGUGCCCUUGCAGGGGCAGAUUGCACCCCCAUAGCAGAGAUCUUCAGGACUUAAGAACAACGUGAUGAUUUUAAAAGGCUGCAUUGAAAAAACAAAGGGCCGGAGGCGGGGGGCGGCUGGGGGGGCUACAUAUUGGGUCCAUUCAGAAGCAUGCGGCCCUCUGGUUUUAUAAAUCAGGAACCGUCAGCCCACCGCGUUGGGGCAGGGGGCUUCUUCUCUCCGACUCUUGGACAAAGUCAUCUGGUUCCAAAAUGCACGCUGGUCUAUGGAGGGCACAGAUGGCGGGUGAAAAGGCUGAGAAGCCAGAUACUAAGGAGAAAAAACCUGAAGCCAAGAAGGCUGAUGCUGGCAACAAGGCUAAAAAGGUGAAAAUGGUGAAGAAAGUUAAGAAGGGGAAGCCCCACUGCAGCCGAAAUCCUGUCCUGGUCAGAGGAAUUGGCAGAUAUUCCCGAUCAGCCAUGUACUCCAGAAAGGCCCUGUAGAAAAGAAAGUAUUCAGCAUCUAAAUCCAAGGUCGAAAAGAAAAAGAAGGUUCGGGUUCUUGCUACUGUCACAAAACCAGUUGGUGGCAAUAAGAAUGGUGGUACCCGAGUGGUCAAACUUCGCAAAAUGCCUGGGUAUUACCCUACUGAAGUUGUGCCUCGGAAACUGUUGAGUCACGGCAAGAAACCCUUCAGUAAGCACGUGAGGAAGCUGUGCACCAGCAUCACUCCUGGGACCGUUCUGAUCAUCCUCACGGGGCGCCACAGAGGCAAGAGGGUGGUUUUCCUGAAGCAGCUGGGCAGUGGCUUGCUACUUGUGACAGGGCCUCCAUCCCUCAGUCGAGUUCGUCUGCAUAGAACACACCAGAAAUUUGUCAUUGCCACCUCUACCAAAAUCGAUAUCAGUGGUGUGACAAUCCCAGAACAUCUCACUGACACUUACUUCAAGAAGAAGAAGCUGCGUAAGCCCAGACACCAGGAGAGUGAGAUCUUCGACACAGAGAGAGAAAUACGAGAUCAAAGAGCAGCGCAAGGCUGAUCAGAAAGCUGUGGACUCACAAAAUCUGCGAAGAAUCAAAGCUGUCUCUCAGCUCCAGGGCUACCCCCGCUCUGUGUUUGCUCUAACAAAUGGAAUUUAUCCUCACAAAGUAGUAUUCUGAACUUCUUGAAAAGAACCUAAUUAAAUAACUUGUCCAU